rnacentral:rRNA from 1 species
UACGUAGGGGGCGAGCGUUGUCCGGAUUCAUUGGGCGUAAAGCGCUUUAAGGCGGUUCGGUAAGUCGGGUGUGAAACCUCCAGGCUCAACCUGGAGACGCCACUCGAUACUGCUGUGACUAGAGUUCGGUAGGGGAUCACGGAAUUCCUGGUGUAGCGGUGAAAUGCGCAGAUAUCAGGAGGAACACCGGUGGCGAAGGCGGCCAUCUGGCUCAACAUUGACGCUGAGGCACGAAAGCGUGGGGAGCAAACAGG